rnacentral:rRNA from 2 species
CUCAGAUUGAACGCUGGCGGCAGGCCUAACACAUGCAAGUCGAACGGUAACAGGAAGCAGCUUGCUGCUUUGCUGACGAGUGGCGGACGGGUGAGUAAUGUCUGGGAAACUGCCUGAUGGAGGGGGAUAACUACUGGAAACGGUGGCUAAUACCGCAUAACGUCGCAAGACCAAAGAGGGGGACCUUCGGGCCUCUUGCCAUCAGAUGUGCCCAGAUGGGAUUAGCUUGUUGGUGAGGUAACGGCUCACCAAGGCGACGAUCCCUAGCUGGUCUGAGAGGAUGACCAGCCACACUGGAACUGAGACACGGUCCAGACUCCUACGGGAGGCAGCAGUGGGGAAUAUUGCACAAUGGGCGCAAGCCUGAUGCAGCCAUGCCGCGUGUAUGAAGAAGGCCUUCGGGUUGUAAAGUACUUUCAGCGGGGAGGAAGGUGUUGUGGUUAAUAACCGCAGCAAUUGACGUUACCCGCAGAAGAAGCACCGGCUAACUCCGUGCCAGCAGCCGCGGUAAUACGGAGGGUGCAAGCGUUAAUCGGAAUUACUGGGCGUAAAGCGCACGCAGGCGGUCUGUCAAGUCGGAUGUGAAAUCCCCGGGCUCAACCUGGGAACUGCAUUCGAAACUGGCAGGCUUGAGUCUUGUAGAGGGGGGUAGAAUUCCAGGUGUAGCGGUGAAAUGCGUAGAGAUCUGGAGGAAUACCGGUGGCGAAGGCGGCCCCCUGGACAAAGACUGACGCUCAGGUGCGAAAGCGUGGGGAGCAAACAGGAUUAGAUACCCUGGUAGUCCACGCCGUAAACGAUGUCUACUUGGAGGUUGUGCCCUUGAGGCGUGGCUUCCGGAGCUAACGCGUUAAGUAGACCGCCUGGGGAGUACGGCCGCAAGGUUAAAACUCAAAUGAAUUGACGGGGGCCCGCACAAGCGGUGGAGCAUGUGGUUUAAUUCGAUGCAACGCGAAGAACCUUACCUGGUCUUGACAUCCACAGAAGAAUCCAGAGAUGGAUUUGUGCCUUCGGGAACUGUGAGACAGGUGCUGCAUGGCUGUCGUCAGCUCGUGUUGUGAAAUGUUGGGUUAAGUCCCGCAACGAGCGCAACCCUUAUCCUUUGUUGCCAGCGGUUAGGCCGGGAACUCAAAGGAGACUGCCAGUGAUAAACUGGAGGAAGGUGGGGAUGACGUCAAGUCAUCAUGGCCCUUACGACCAGGGCUACACACGUGCUACAAUGGCGCAUACAAAGAGAAGCGACCUCGCGAGAGCAAGCGGACCUCAUAAAGUGCGUCGUAGUCCGGAUUGGAGUCUGCAACUCGACUCCAUGAAGUCGGAAUCGCUAGUAAUCGUGGAUCAGAAUGCCACGGUGAAUACGUUCCCGGGCCUUGUACACACCGCCCGUCACACCAUGGGAGUGGGUUGCAAAAGAAGUAGGUAGCUUAACCUUCGGGAGGGCGCUUACCACUUUGUGAUUCAUGACUGGGGUGAAGUCGUAACAAGGUAACCGUAGGGGAACCUGCGGUUGGAUCACCUCCUUACCUUAAAGAA